GGGGAAUAUUGCGCAUGGGCGAAAGCCUGACGCAGCCAUACCGCGUGUGUGAAGAAGGCCUUCGGGUUGUAAAGCACUUUCAGUGGGGAGGAAAAGCUGGUGGCUAAUAUCCAUCGGGAUUGACGUUACCCGCAGAAUAAGCACCGGCAAACUUCGUGCCAGCAGCCGCGGUAAUACGAAGGGUGCGAGCGUUAAUCGGAAUUACUGGGCGUAAAGCGCGCGUAGGUGGUUAAGUAAGCGAUCUGUGAAAGCCCCGGGCUUAACCUGGGAACUGCAGGUCGAACUGCUUGGCUAGAGUAUGGUAGAGGGGUGUGGAAUUUCCUGUGUAGCGGUGAAAUGCGUAGAUAUAGGAAGGAACAUCAGUGGCGAAGGCGACACCCUGGACCGAUACUGACACUGAGGCGCGAAAGCGUGGGUGGCGAAC
rnacentral:rRNA from 1 species